rnacentral:rRNA from 1 species
AUUGAACGCUGGCGGCAUGCCUAACACAUGCAAGUCGAACGGCAGCACAGUAAGUUGCUGCUGUUGCCGAGUGGCGGACGGGUGAGUAAUAGGUAGGCACCGGUCCCUUCGUGUUGGUUGGGGAGGAGGAAGCGGGAUUUACACCGAUAACGAAUACCGGCUAAAGGUGGGAGAAGUGGAGCUUUCGAGCUUUCGGGUUUGAAGAUGGCGGAUUAGCUAGUUGGGGGGGUAAAGGCCUAGCACGGCGACGAUCAGUAGCUGGUCUGAGAGGACGACCAGCCACACUGGAACUGAGACACGGCCCAGACUCCUACGGGAGGCAGCAGUGGGGAAUUUUGGACAAUGGGCGCAAGCCUGAUCCAGCCAUGCCGCGUGUGUGAAGAAGGCCUUCGGGUUGUAAAGCCCUUUUGUUGGGAAAGAAAACCUGCGGUCUAAUACCGCGCGGGUAUGACGGUACCGGAAGAAUAAGCACCGGCUAACUACGUG